UCCACCAGUUGCUGUUUUAUGAGGUCGCUGGCUGCAUAAACCUAUUUGUUUAAGCGGUCUGUAGAAAAAAGCAAGAGAUGUGUUUGUAAUUUGUUGUCGACUGUUGUAGGCUGCAAGCAAAAUCAAUGAUCCCAAUAGUAAAUUCUAAAUUUCACCUGCGUUCGAGAAGCUGCUAAAUUACGGCUUAAUAGUAUUGGUUACAACAAUACUCUGGAAAAAUCAAAGCUUGGGCAGAUUGCUUCUCACUUCGUCGAUAUGAAAUUGUUUCUGGCAUAUUUAAAUUGGAUGAUUAUUCUGUGCUUCGUAAUUUUCCCUGUAUAAACGAACUGAUUUUUUAUGAUUUUUGCACUAUCAACAAAAACUUUACCGAUCUUCAGUCGAAACUGCCCAUAUUUUUGAAAAAAUUUAGAUCCAUAUUUGGCGAUUACCGAACACUUGUGGAAGAAGACAAGCUACUGACAGAUGAAAUAAUUGUGACGUUUCGCGAAACAGUGGAAAUUGCCGGCAUGUUCUAUAUGUGUUUAAUUGCGAUUAUUGCACAAAUCAAGUAAAAAGAAACAAUCUGAUGGAACGCGAAACAGUGGAAAUUAACGAUUAUUUCUGCUGCCUCUGCACUCCUUGCUGUCGUUCGAUUCCGAUCACGUGGCUUCGACGUGCUGCCUCGUGGAUCGUCAAUUCGUUGGUAGCGAGCCGCGUGGCUUGUUUCGAUAUUCCACCUGUUGCUAUGGGCCUUGGUUGCGUUUAGAUGACCUCGCAUCUGCGUGGUGACUUCAGGAAACUAUUCAGUCAUGUCAAACUGAGGCUUCCAAUAGUCAACAUCGGUGAAACAACGUCAUAUCGGUUAUUGAAUUCAGAUACAUCGAGCAAUACGGAACAUUUGAACAAGACUGUAGCUUACCCGAGUUCCGAGCCACUACAAUUCCAUUUGACUUUAGUCAUACCGGCUGGAAUAUAAUAUAGAAUUCUGGCCGUCUAAGAGACAAGUAUUUUAAUUGCGCAUUCAUUUUUUUUGUUUUUUGUUGGUGAUUAAUUCAUUUCAAAUAUAUUUGUAGUUGCGACUGUGGCCACAUUUGCAAUUAUGGCACCACUGACAUAUGAGCAAGCGUAUGGGGGAUAGACCACUAGUGAAUAAUUGUUCUUAAACUUGAGGGGUAACCACCCAUAUUGAUGGUGGUUUUAUGUGUUUUGUGGUAACCGGAAGCCGCCAUCUUGAAUUUCAAAAUGACACCAAUCAUCAAUUUUCACUUUCUACUAAUUACUACCUUUCAAAUGACCCUCAUAUUGAUGGUGGUUUUCAGUGUUUUGUGGUAACCGGAAGCCGCCAUCUUGGAUUUGAAAAUGGCACCAAUCAUCGAUUUUUAUCUUCUACUAAUUACUACCUUUCAAAUGACACCCACAUUGAUGGUGGUUUUCAGUGUUUUAUGGUAACAGGAAGCCGCCAUCUUGGAUUUCAAAAUGGCGCCAAUCAUCAAUUUUCGCCUUCUAACAAUUACUACCUUUCAAAUGACCCUCAUAUUGAUGGUGGUUUUAAGUGUUUUGUGGUAACAUGAAGCCGCCAUCUUGGAUUUCAAAAUGGCGCCAAUAAUUAAUUUUCACUUUCUACUAAUUACUACCUUUCAAAUGACCCUCAUAUUGAUAGUGGCUUUCAGUGUUUUAUGGUAACCAAAAGCCGCCAUCUUGGAUUUCAAAAUGGCACUAAUCGAUUUUUACCUUCUACUAAUUACUACCUUUCAAAUGACACCCAUAUUGAUGGAGAUUUUUAAUGUUUUGUUGUAACCGGAAACCGCCAUCUUGGAUUUCAAAAUGGCGCCAAUCAUCAAUUUUUGCCUUCUACUAAUUACUACCUUUCAAACGACACCCAUAUUGAUGGUGGUUUUCAGUGAUUUAUGGUAACAGGAAGCCGCCAUCUUGGAUUUCAAAAUGGCACCAAUCAUCAAUUUUCGCCUUCAACUAAUCAAUACCUUUCAAAUGACACCCAUAUUUAUGGUAGUUUCAAGUGUUUUGUGGUAACCGGAAACCGACAUCUUGAAUUUCAAAAUGUCGCCAAUCAUCAAUUUUCAGCUUCUACGAAUGGCUACUUUUCAAAUGAUACCCAUAUUGAUGGUUGUUCUUAGUGCGAAUGCCAAGCAUCCAUAUAAUAUAUAUUGGAA